UAUUCACUAGGUACAGUUUGAUUAUUCACCGCUGUCAUGGUAGCAAUGACACUGACCACUGUUCUUGGUCAGUUGAAAAGUUUCAUAGUUUAUUGUCAAACUCUUCAUUUCUAAAUGCACAUCAUCUCUCUCUGUUUCUCUCCUGUUUCUAUAUAACUGUGACCAUCAUGUACCGAUGUAUACGAAAUUUCCCGCACACUACAAGUUAAAUUAUCAAUAAGUUGUCUCCCUGUCUCCUGAAGACCCCACAAGCCUCACCUACAAAUAUGUCAGUGGUGACAUUACAGCUGGGUCAGUGUGGGAAUCAAAUAGGGGGUGAAUUUUACAACACCCUGCUACAAGACCUUCACAUCAGAAAUCCACAUGUUUCUCCCCGAGCCAACGAGAACUACAUUCAAGAAGCCAUUGACCGUUUCUUUGUCGAAUGCAAAACAAAAAGUGGAUUGGCUGGUCUUUUAGAAGCUCGGGCCGUCAUGGUCGACAUGGAACCAAAAGUGAUUGUACAGACAUGCCAACUAGCCAGGCGGUCGGGUUUGUGGAGGUAUCCAGUUAAUCAACAGCUGUGUCAUCAGAGAGGAUCAGGUAAUAACUGGGCCAACGGUUUUCUCUCUUGUGGACCCAAAGCAAAGGAAACUGUAAUGAAUAUGAUUCGAAAAGAGGCCGAAAAAUGCGAUUGUCUUGGAGGUUUCCUGUGUCUGAUGAGUGUCGCUGGUGGCACAGGUUCUGGUGUCGGUGCUUACCUUACUCGCUGCCUUCGUGAUGUCUACCCAAAUGCCUUCAUCUUGAACCAAGUGAUCUGGCCAUAUCACACUGGAGAAGUGAUUGUCCAGAACUAUAAUGCACUGUUGACCCUUUCUAAUCUUUACCAGACAUCGGAUGGCAUCCUGCUCAUCAAUAAUGACCAGCUGCAAGAUAUCUGCACCCGACGGCUGCACAUAAAGCAAGUGACAUUUGAGAACAUGAACUGUGUUGUAGCUGACCAACUGACCAGCCUCCUCCAGCCUGUUUACAAAGCUAACACUGGUAAAACUGUUCACAAUUGUCUUGGGGACAUGUUGCAGACAUUAACACCUCACCCUGAAUACAAGCUGUUGAUGGUGAAGAAGACACCCCAGGUGUCCGAGAAGGUGGCAGCGUAUAACUCGGACACCUGGACGGGACUCUUGAAACACCUCAGACAAAUGCAACUUGCAGACUCUGCAACAGAUGAAGGCAUCAAUUGGUCCCUCUCUGUCAAUGAUGAUGUCCCUAGAGGAGCUGCUGUGAAAUAUAAUCGUUCAUUGUCAUCACUUUUGAUGUUGCGUGGUGAACAGUUGGCCACAGCUGAUACUGCGUUAUUCCAAGAUCAAAGACUUUACACUCCCUGGACACUUCCAGAGCUCAGUUUCACCAAAUGGUACCAACCACGAUCAUUUCAGCAUUAUGACAAAUCUGCUACUUUGGUGAGCAACAGUCAGAUGACAGCCAAACCACUGAACCAUGUGGUCAGUCGGGCCUGGGAUAUGUUCUCUGCCAAAGCCUUCUUUCAUCAAUAUUGUGAUUAUGGACUCACUGCAUCUGAUUUCUUAGAUUCUUUUGCUUGCUUGGAACAAAUAAUUGCUAAUUAUGCCAGUUUGUAAAGGAUCACACAGAACUGUGAGUGUGGUGAGGGAAUUGAGAGAGAGUUGUACAAGUGACAAUCAUCUCUCCCAACUCUGGGGAGCUUCACCAGACUCCAGUCUGAUUUGGCAUAGUUUCUAUGGCUAGAUGCCAUUCCUAACACCAACAUAUAUAUGUGUUUGUGUUUGUGAAGGCAUGUGGCCCAGUGGUUUAGAGUGUUACACACAUGAUUGCUAGACAGUGGGUUCAAUUCCUGGACCAUGCAGCACAUUGUGUUCUUGAGCAAUACACUUCAUUUCAUGUUGCUCCAGUCCACUUAGCUGUAAAUGGGUCACCCUGUGACAGACUAAUCUUCCAAUCUGGGGGGAACGUUGGCCUGCUCACCUAGCCAGUGGGGUGGCAUCAUUCAAAGGCUAAGACAGUGAAGUGCAUUGUGACCAGUGAUGAAUAACAUCAGAUAGUCUAGUCAAUACCGUGAGUUAACAUGGGAUCUCCUACCGACAAUAUAAACUUCAUGUAAUCAAGGUGUCCUUGGCCUGAAACAUUUGUAGCCUGGAUUUUAUCUCCUCCAUUUCCUAAUUUUAGGAUACUGUUUUGCACCUGCAGCUACCCCAGUUGCUAACUGUGAACUAUAGAAUAACUUUUUUCAGCUUAUUGUCCUUCGAUAUGGGGAAAAUUCUCAACCUUCUGUUUCAAUAAACCACUAUUGUUCCUGAAAGUUAUUUUUUUAAUAUUUUCUGCUUGAAGCUGACUAACUUCCUACACCUUGACCCUUAGAUCUUACCUUUACAUAUCUAUAUAUGUCUAUGUUCUCCUUGUACUUAUAAUUACUCUUUCCAAGUGUGAAAUCUUAAAUGACUUCUGAGCCCUGAAAGGCAUUUGAAGAGCUGAUCCCAAAUAUGGCUGCAGUGUCCCUUUUCAACAUUGGCUCCACGUCCCGUUCGUCUGUUAUGAAUAUUCAAGUUCUUCUUCAAUCCUCCACAUGACUUGCAGGUUUCUUGACAGACAUUGCAUUGAAACUGGUCAUCUGGAAUGAAAUUCCAAUAGUUCAUGUCCACCUGACCCACAUGGCCAUGCUGGUGCAAUCUCGUACUAGGGUGAAAUAUGCACACUUUUUACUUUUUCUGUCUAAAGAACAUUUAAAGGAAUGAGAAACUCUCAUAACUCUUGAUAUUGAUCUCAUUUUUACAAAUUUUUCUUGUGGCUUCUGUUCUUCUUACUGACCACGAUGCCAUUAUCUCAAAACAUGUCCAUCUGGGACAUAGAUCUCUUGGAGUAACAUCACUAAGCCACAUUCUAAGAAAACCACCAAGACCUUAAACGACUUCUUUAUUCUUUCUAACGCAUAAAUGUUGAACUAUUUUGUUUUUAUUCUGAAAUGUUGUUAUUAACAAUAAUCUCUUUUGGCCAAUAAAGAAAAGAUUAUUAACAA